GACGAACCGUGCGAACGUUGUUCGGAAUCACUGGGCUUAAAGGGCGCGUAGGCGGGCUCACAAGUCAGGGGUGAAAUCCCACGGCUCAACCGUGGAAGUGCCUUUGAUACUGUGGGUCUUGAGGGAGGUAGGGGCGUGCGGAACUUCCGGUGGAGCGGUGAAAUGCGUAGAUAUCGGAAGGAACACCGGUGGCGAAAGCGGCGCGCUGGACCUCUACUGACGCUGAGGCGCGAAAGCGUGGGGAGCGAACAGG
rnacentral:rRNA from 1 species